rnacentral:lncRNA from 1 species
GCCAUCUAUUUCUCUCUUGGGACACUUAGGGCUUGUCUCAGUGUCUGGCACAAAGCAGGUGCUUGACGAUCACUUAGUGGAAAUUUAUUUUGAAUCUUACCUUCCCUCUUUUCCGCUAACACUCUCUGCAGAAGGUGAUAAUGAAUACUGAAGAUUCUAAGAAGAUCAUAAGAGAGAAGUACAUGCAGAAACAGAAAAAGUCCAUAAACUCGGGAACUCAAGGUCAAGUUAUUCAGAAGCAUUUGAAGUUGUUUGGAGAACUGUGAAGAAUUUCACCAGACUAAACACAUUACACAUUUCGAGAUUGAUUCCAAAG